rnacentral:rRNA from 1 species
AACGAACGCUGGCGGCAGGCUUAACACAUGCAAGCCGAGCGCCCCGCAAGGGGAGCGGCAGACGGGUGAGUAACGCGUGGGAAUCUACCCAUCUCUACGGAAUAACGCAUGGAAACGUGUGCUAAUACCGUAUACGUCCUUCGGGAGAAAGAUUUAUCGGAGAUGGAUGAGCCCGCGUUGGAUUAGCUAGUUGGUGGGGUAAAGGCCUACCAAGGCGACGAUCCAUAGCUGGUCUGAGAGGAUGAUCAGCCACACUGGGACUGAGACACGGCCCAGACUCCUACGGGAGGCAGCAGUGGGGAAUAUUGGACAAUGGGCGCAAGCCUGAUCCAGCCAUGCCGCGUGAGUGAUGAAGGCCCUAGGGUUGUAAAGCUCCUUCACCGGUGAAGAUAAUGACGGUAACCGGAGAAGAAGCCCCGGCUAACUUCGUGCCAGCAGCCGCAGUAAUAC